rnacentral:rRNA from 1 species
GUCGAGAAUCUUCCGCAAUGGGCGCAAGCCUGACGGAGCGAUGCCGCGUGAGGGAAGAAGGCCUUCGGGUUGUAAACCUCUGUCACCCGGGACGAAAUCAAUGACGGUACCGGGAGAGGAAGUCACGGCUAACUACGUGCCAGCAGCCGCGGUAACACGUAGGUGGCGAGCGUUAUUCGGAUUCACUGGGCGUAAAGGGUCCGCAGGGGGCCUGCCAAGUCUGUCGUGAAAACCCGGGGCUCAACCCCGGGCCUGCGGUGGAAACAGGCGGGCUGGAGUGUGUGAGGGGCAGACGGAACACCUGGUGUAGCGGUGGAAUGCGUGGAUAUCAUGUGGAACACCGAUGGCGAAGGCGGUCUGCUGGCACACAACUGACCCUCAGGGACGAAAGCGUGGGUAGCAAACAGGAUUAGAAACCCUGGUAGUCC